CCGAGGAUUGACAGACUGUUAACUGCAACACAAGCUGCUAAGUUUUAAACUUAAUAGCUCUUUCAUGAUUAUAUGAUAGGUGGUGCAUGGCCGUUCUUAGUUCGUGGAGUGAUCUGUCUGCUUAAUUGCGUUUCAAAAUUUAAACCUGAGCGACAAGGUGCUGCUAUCGAAACUGUCUUUGAGUGUGAACUAUAAGUCUUUUGACUUAUGACCAUCACUCUAGACGUUUAUGUUUUGGUGUUGGCCCUUGAUGCUCAUUUGAACGCAACGGACGUGAUUGCAACCCCUUGUUGAGAUUUAUCCGAUCUCUACGUUCACUGAACCACACUCUUUAGCGAGAGCAGUGGGGAUGUGGAUAAACUCGGGGGACUGCUGACUAUAAACUUUUCUCAAACCAGAGGAAGGUUGCGGCAAUAACAGGUCUGUGAUGCCCUCAGAUGU
rnacentral:rRNA from 1 species